rnacentral:rRNA from 2 species
UUAAAUUGAAGAGUUUGAUCAUGGCUCAGAUUGAACGCUGGCGGCAGGCCUAACACAUGCAAGUCGAACGGUAGCACAGAGAGCUUGCUCUCGGGUGACGAGUGGCGGACGGGUGAGUAAUGUCUGGGAAACUGCCUGAUGGAGGGGGAUAACUACUGGAAACGGUAGCUAAUACCGCAUAACGUCGCAAGACCAAAGAGGGGGACCUUCGGGCCUCUUGCCAUCAGAUGUGCCCAGAUGGGAUUAGCUAGUAGGCGGGGUAAUGGCCCACCUAGGCGACGAUCCCUAGCUGGUCUGAGAGGAUGACCAGCCACACUGGAACUGAGACACGGU